rnacentral:rRNA from 1 species
UACGGGGGGGGUAAGCGUUGUUCGGAAUUACUGGGCGUAAAGGGCUCGUAGGCGGCCAACUAAGUCAUACGUGAAAUCCCUCAGCUUAACUGGGGAACUGCGUGUGAUACUGGAUGGCUUGGAUUUGGGAGAGGGAUGCGGAAUUCCAGGUGUAGCGGUGAAAUGCGCAGAUAUCAGGAGGAACACCAAUGGCGAAGGCAGCUCGCUGGGACGUGACUGACGCUGAGACGCGAAAGCGUGGGGAGCAAACAGG